rnacentral:tRNA from 1 species
GACCACGUAGCUCAGUUGGCAGAGCAUCAGUUGGGCUAGUAUUCCAAAGGUCGUACGUUCGAUUCUCACCGUGGCCG